AACACCUCAAUUUCAUGAUUCUUAAUUUUGAAAUUGGACUUGAGCAGAUCCCAACGUACAUUUAAUUAUAUGGAGGGUUGCUUCAAAUGCAGGUGCAGCCGAUCAUUCUUCUGGGCUAAAAGCAUUAUCUAGUUAAUCCCGUAAAACGGAUUAUUCACUUUAUUGCUGCAGCUUACCUUUAUAAAAGGAAGAAAUGGCCAUUGUGCUGACUGAUGCAGGAAUUCUCAGAGGUCUGUAAGGACUUUUGAAA
rnacentral:misc_RNA from 1 species